rnacentral:rRNA from 1 species
UACGUAGGGUGCAAGCGUUAAUCGGAAUUACUGGGCGUAAAGCGUGCGCAGGCGGUUUUGUAAGUCUGUCGUGAAAGCCCCGGGCUCAACCUGGGAAUGGCGAUGGAGACUGCAAGGCUUGAAUCUGGCAGAGGGGGGUAGAAUUCCACGUGUAGCAGUGAAAUGCGUAGAGAUGUGGAGGAACACCGAUGGCGAAGGCAGCCCCCUGGGUCAAGAUUGACGCUCAUGCACGAAAGCGUGGGGAGCAAACGGG